AAAAUCAUUUUGAAGUUCGUCAGAUAUGAUUAACAGACGGGUGUUGCAACUAAGAUGUCUUGAUCCUCCUAAAUCGCGCACUUUCUGCCGUCUUUUUGCGUCUUCUAUAUCGACUACAACUUUUCUACUAUCACGCUGUAUAUUCAUAAAACAGCCAGGUAAGCUGGUGUUUGCCAGUAACGAUGAUAAAAUUAAACAAAUCGAUGACAAAAAUUUGUGAGCGCUUAAAAAGAAAAAACAGAACAUUUCGGCUGAGAACGCAAAGUACAUAAGUAGUUUUUUAAAUUAGUAUAUUCUAGAGUUAUAUAUGGCAUAUUGGAGUGUGUUGGACUAACAAAGUGGAAUGCGCUGCUGAUCUAGCUGGUUCGUGAUGGAGCGGCGCCAACCGAACGGCAGAGCUGAAAACCUGGAAUCCAAUCCAGCUAAUUCCUUUGGCACGUCUAUACUAUACCGUAUGGUUAGUGGUUCUGUUCAUUGAGAGAGCGAGUAUGCGUGGUGUUUUCUGCUUUCUCAGUCAACAGAUCGCAGAAGAAAAAUUUGUUCACAGCUAUUUGCUUGGUAUACAUUUGAGACUGGGUUUUCAUGAGAUAUUCAGUAGAACGUUUUUUAUACAUUAAUUGGCUAUUUGCUUCAUUCUAUUGUUCCGAGCUAACUCAUUCCCGCUAACUUGACGAGUUUUUGAAAUGUUCAUUCGUAUAUUCCAUGGUUUUAAAGAGGAGUUUCUUAAAUAAAGAAAAAACAAUGCUUUCGGUAACUUGUAAGGCUCCGGUCAAUAUUGCAAUAAUUAAAUAUUGGGGAAAACGUCAUGAAGAAUUAAUUCUACCCAUUAAUGAUUCAAUUAGUAUGACACUUGGCACAAACGAGGUAAUUAUUGACUACAGUGGAGAAAAAGCUGUUUGUAAAUAUGUAGUUCACGAUUAAAUAUUGCAUUUGAGCCAAUCAACAAUAGGCAAUACAAAAGAUUACGU
rnacentral:sRNA from 1 species